AUGUCCACCGACGCCGACCGUGCCGCCGCCGAGAAAGCUGAAGCCGACAAGAAGGUCGCUGAGGACGCCGCUGCUGCCACCAAAGCCGCGGCCUCUGCGUGGCCUACUGGAGGGUAUAACUCGUUUAUCCCGCUCCUGAUUAUUUUCAUAUUAGCAGUACUAGCAGUAUGUGUAGAUUUGUCUAUUGUUUGCUUAGUACGUGCAUGUUUAGAUCAGAGUCAGUACGUCAUCAACUUAGUCAAUGCCAUGCUAGUGAUUUACUCAUGGAUUAAUUUAAUCGAGAAAUUGCCUAUUUACUCAACAAUCCAAAAACCUAUUAUGUGUAGGAAUUUCUCGGCAAGUGGCUUUGCCGCUGCACUGAAACCGGAUAAGUUUACCGGUACAUACUUCAAGCGUUGGCAGACUAAGACCACGUUAUGGCUCACGGCUAUGAACGUGUUCUGGGUCACCGGUGUCUCCACGGGAACGAUUGCUCCUGAACAGGAGAAGGCGUUCAAGGAGGCUACCGUUGUGUUUCUCGGAGCAGUUCUUAGCGUGAUCGGAGAUAAACUGGUCGACGCAUAUUUACAUGUGCAUGUCGCCAAGGACUUGUGGGAGGCGCUCGAAUCUAAAUUCGGGGCCGCCGAUGCAGGGAGCGAGAUGUAUAUUAUAGAGCAGUUCCACGAUUACAAGAUGGUUGAAAACCGUCCUGUAUUGGAGCAGGCUCAUGAGAUAAUAUGCAUUGUUAAUGAACUUGAGCUUCUCAAGUGCGAGUUACCGGGCAAGUUUGUCGCGGGCUGCAUAAUCGCUAAGCUCCCUAAUUCCUGGAGGAACUUUGCCACCACUCUGAAACAUCAGAGGCGUGAAUUCUCUGUGGAGGAUGUCAUUGGCCAUCUGAGUGUUGAGCAGAAUUCGAGGGCAAAAGACUCGCACGGAAAAGGGGCCGAAGGGACUUCUGUUGCCAACAUGGUGAACCAGAAGAACUUCAACUCCCACAAGCCCAAGGGAAAGAACGGUGUCCAACACAAUACCGACUUUAAGAAGAAGGGUAAGAAGACCUUCAAGAAGAACAAGAAGGACGAGGGCUGCUUUACUUGUGGUUCGGUUGAACAUUGGGCCAACAAGUGCCCAAACAAGUACAAGAAGUCAGGACAGGACUCCAAGUCUGUCAACAUGAUUGUGGGCAACAAUGAGAAUGGUGCAUCUGGGUCACAGGUCACGGGUCCGUAUUGA
rnacentral:rRNA from 1 species